rnacentral:rRNA from 1 species
UACGGGGGGAGCAAGCGUUGUUCGGAUUUACUGGGCGUAAAGGGCGCGUAGGCGGCCCCUGCAAGUCAGUUGUGAAAUCUCCGGGCUUAACCCGGAAAGGUCAACUGAUACUGCAGGGCUAGAGUGCAGAAGGGGCAACUGGAAUUCUCGGUGUAGCGGUGAAAUGCGUAGAUAUCAGGAAGAACAUCGGUGGCGAAGGCGCUCUGCUGGACCAUAACUGACACUCAGGGACGAAAGCUAGGGGAGCGAAUGGG